UACGGGGGGGGCAAGCGUUGUUCGGAAUUACUGGGCGUAAAGCGCGUGUAGGCGGCUCUUCAAGUCGAGUGUGAAAGCUCCAGGCUUAACCUGGGAAUUGCGCUCGAUACUGUUGAGCUAGAGUGUGGAAGGGGCUACUGGAAUUCCGUGUGUAGCGGUGAAAUGCGUAGAUAUUCGCAAGAACACCAGUGGCGAAGGCGGCUCACUGGCCCGGAACUGACGCUGAGGUGCGAAAGCGUGGGGAGCAAACAGG
rnacentral:rRNA from 1 species